ACGGUCUCAGUUCAGAUUGCAGGCUGCAACUCGCCUGCAUGAAGUUGGAAUUGCUAGUAAUCGCGAAUCAGAAUGUCGCGGUGAAUACGUUCCCGGGCCUUGUACACACCGCCCGUCACACCAUGAGAGUCGGGAACACCCGAAGUCCGUAGCCUAACCGCAAGGGGGGCGCGGCCGAAGGUGGGUUCGAUAAUUGGGGUGAAGUCGUAACAAGGUACC
rnacentral:rRNA from 1 species